GGGAAACGGGGAGUCUGAAGGAAGGAACGAAAUGGGUAUUCAAAGAUUUGGAUUGAAACGAAGUUUAAAUGAAAAUGGCGGAAGCCAUUGAUGAGAGCUUUGAUUGUGUUACAAGCUUAUCUAGAUAUAUUAAUAUAAAAAUUACAGAGAGGUCACCUUCAUCAUCUUCUUCAGGUGAAGAGAGUCAGGGGACUGGUUUACCCCACAGGGCUCAACAAUUAGCAAUGAAGAAAGCUAUUAUACUCCGACUUCACGUUGAUUAGUGGCAGUUUGGUGACUCCGGCCUAAACUGAAAUGAAUACAAAUACUAAGUUUGGUCGUCCUCGUUCCAAAACAACAUCUCCUAAAACAAGGCUUUUGGCUUCUUCACCCGAAAUGAAGCAUGUUAUUAUCCCUUCAAUAAAGCAGCAGCCUCCUCCUCCUCUUCCUCCUCCAC
rnacentral:lncRNA from 1 species